GCUCUCCUCCCAGAAAAACAGAAGACCAAUGCCAUGCUGCUGGCCUGGGAGAGCACUGGCCGGGGGUGGGGGACAUCGUUGGACUCUCUGAACGAACAGGGCACCUCGGUGCUUCUCUAUGGAUUACAGCGAAGUCUUCCAGGGAUGCAGAAUAAACAUCCUUACAACCCAUCUCCACAGCCCCUUGGGAUCCCCUUCCAAAUGUCAACAAACAAGAAAAGAGGAGGCCACUAUACAACAGUUGUAAAGAUGUCCUCCAGCCAGUCAUAGAGAUGAUCCUGAAGGCACUUACCAUUUAUUGAGUGCCUACUGUGUGCCAGGCACUGUGUUAGGUGCUUAACAUGCCCAGACUCUGGUCCUCACCUAACCCUCUAGGACAAAUGUUCUUCUCUCUCUCUCUCUCCUGGAUAGACGAAGAGGCAGAGGUCUAGGAAGGUAAAGGAGAGAACCCAGUUGGUACCAACACCUUCCUGAGGGUCAGGCCAAACUCUCACAAGCAGCAAAGGAAAGCUGACUGUCAACAGGAGAGCUCACACCUGAGUCCUAAGAGGGCGUGGAGCACAUCAGAUAGGCUAGUUUACUCUUUUACUGAUGUAGCAGAUGAUAGAUUCUGACUCAUCCACCUCCAUCAUCCUCAACACCCAACAACAGCGCUCCUGUGUCCAAGGCUGGAAUCACAGGUGGGCUUCUCUUCAGAAUGCGUAGAAUGGUUACUGUUUUAGCAGUUAAGAUCCCUCCAACUGUUUGCCUGGCAAAUAUUGCUUUGCUUACCUAAGGCCUACAGAAAAAACAGCAAGGAGCUCCUCAAAAAGACAAGUUCUAUGAAAAACAUCACCAGCCAGGUGGCUCUCCAGACCUCCACGGGCCAUUUUGCCAUAGGAAAGAUGCAUCAGAGAAGAACCAGGACACAGCCAUGAAAUGAAUACUGCUCCCCACAACUCUUCACUGUGAAAAUGGAAAUUUUACAUGGACCAGUGACGGCAAUGUGUCCAACCAAAAUCUCUCAGGAAGCUUUUAUUGAGCACCUAAUCUGUGCCUCAACAAAGCACAGAAUAUAUAAGACAUGGAUCCCGAAGUCAAUGAGCUUACAGACCAGGUGAUGGCCCCACAAGAAUACCUAGCACACAGUUAUUUAUUGAUCUUGUUUACAGUAUCUAAUACGCCAUCACAGCAGAAAUCGAGGCCAGGGCAAAAUAAGAAAGAAAAAACGAAACUCGAGGAAAUUUUGAACCAAAAAAAAUCAAGCUUAAAAUGCACGUAAGAAUAACCUACACAUGGAGUCACAUUUGGCUCUAAGCUUUCUAAAACUCAAGAGGAUAAAGGCAUGCUAGGUAUGCCUUUAAAGGUACACUAUUCACAAUGUCCAAGAGAAAAAAACAAAUCAAUUGGUCAGGAUUAUUUAACUCCAGUCAUUUCUCAACUGCUGAGAAUGGGAUAAGGCUAGGAGCAAGCAGGGCGUGCAGCCCUAUUUCCCGGAUCUCUUUGGGGAGGUAAUAAUGAGAAGGCUUGAGUGUGAGGCCAGCUAGUCUCAUUGUUUCCACUGGUAGACAAGAAUAAUGACCCCACAGGGUGUUGGUGGUUUGCUGAGGUCAGAGAGCUGGUCAGUGGCAGAGCUAGGACGAAGACCUGGGUAUCUUCACACCAUGCUAACAGUGCCUCCCUCCCACAUGAAGCUACUCCGCGUCACCCUUUCAAAUCCACAGGCUGGCUGGAUGGGUAGGGGCUCACAUGGACGUUGAAGAAGGAGGAGACCUGUUCUAGAUUAAAGGGCACCUAAGAACCGAACAACAGCUAGAUACGCUAUGUAGAUUUCAUAUGGAUGCCAGUUCUAACCAGCCAACUGUAAAAAGCCAUUUUGCGGACAAUCAGAUAAGUGUGAAUUGCAACUUGGGAUUAGAUCAAGUUAAUAAUGUCAGUUUUGGCCAGGCACAGUGGCUCAUGCCUGAAAUAUCAGCACUUUGGGAGGCUGAGGCAGGCAGACUGCUUGAGCCCAGGAGUCCUAGACCAGCCCGGGCAACAUGGUGAAACCCCAAUGCUACCAAAAGUAAAAAAAAAAAAAAAAA
rnacentral:lncRNA from 1 species